GUCGCCGCUGCUGGAGAGGAUUGCUUCCUAUGUCGCUGCGGCCUGAGCGGACUAAGACGCCGCCUUCCCGCUAGGAUGGCCGCCUCCUGCGCGGGCCGUUCGAGUCUGUGCCGUAGCGUCCGCAGCCGAAGCCGCCGCCCUCUGUGGCUUCUCUGCCGGCGCGGGGGUCGGCCUGGAGCCCUGACUCGACUGCGGGGUGGGGCCGGAACUGCUUAAGUCUCCUCGCGUCCCGCCGACUUUUUCCUUCGCUGAGAAAACUGCCGAGAAGAUGGAGAUGGAGCCGAGAUCGCACAGCUCGCGGCCUGGGCCUCGGGCCCGCGCCUGGUGCCGGCUGCCCGGCUUCCUGCCUUGGCGAUCGCAAGCAGCCGGGUCCAAGUUCCCGACGGCCGCGCCGCAGAGCUCGGGGGACGCCGCUUUGCCUUCCGACGCCCGGCCAGGCUACUGGUCAAAGCUGCUGGCCCAGCUGUUGGCGCCGCUGCCCGGCUUGCUUCAGAAAGUGCUGCUUUGGAGCCAGCUCUUCGGUGCUCUGCUUCCGACCAGGUGGUUGGGCUUAGCCAGCCGUUACAGCGCCCUGAGAAGCUGGCGGGGGCGAGAGGAGGCGCCCGACCCCCCUGGACCCCUGGACCCCUCGGUCCCCAGCACCCUGGGUUGGCUGGAGGAAGGGCUCCACUGGCAGUGCCCGGCCUCUGAUCUGAACUUGGGACUCAAAGCCAAGGACAGCGGGCUGAACCCUGCCGCGCACCCGUUUCUCUUGGAGCAGCAGCUGUGGGGCGUCAGGCUGCUGCCCGGUGCCCUGGAGGCCCGUCUGUUUGCUGACCGGGAGCUGGGUUCUUCGCCCUCCGGGAGCAUUCAGCGCUUGGCCAGUGGCAAUGUGGUCUCCUACAUGCUGAGCCCUUCUUCCAAUCUGGACUGCCUCCCUUGGCUGCAGGUGGGCUGCCGGCGCAGCAGCGGAAGUGACCAGCGGGUGGACGUCCAGAGCCUAGCCUCCGAGAGCAGCUGCCUUUCGGAGGAGCCAGGUGAGCCCCAGCCGCUGUCUGCAGAGCUGCCCCCAGCCUCGUGGCAGACGUAUCCACCUCUGUCCCAGGAAGGCCUGCCCGAGAUCCAGCAUCUGCGCAUGAAACGGCUGGAAUUCCUCCAGCAGGCCGGCAAGGGGCAGGACUUGCCCACCCCGGAGCAGGACCACGGCUACCACAGCCUGGAGGAGGAGCACAACCUUCUCCGCCUGGAGCAGCAAGGCUGCGGAGGGGACGCGGCCCAGUGUGUUCCCCUGGCCGUAGGUCCCGUUUCCGGAGCCUCCCCGGAGCCCAAGGAGGAUGGCUUCGAACUGUGGGCGGAAGAGGGUGCUCCAGGCAGCUGUCCUUCGUGCGAGGUGCCCCUGGGCAGGGAGGCUGGGGAGUCCUCAGGCCCAGAGGAGGAGCUGCCCCCCGCGGCCAGGCCGGCGUGUAGCAACAAACUAAUAGAUUACAUUUUGGGGGGUGCCACCAGUGACCCUGAGAGCAGCUCUGAUUCCGAGGGGGAAGGCUGGGAUGAAGAGGCAGAGGACGACGGCUUCGGCAGUGAUGGCUCCCUGUCCGAGUCAGAGCCCGAAGGGGACUCGGAGGACCUUCACCUGUGGAACUCCUUCUACAGUGUAGACCCCUACAGCCUCCAAAACUUCACAGCCACGCUGCAGACUGUGGCCAAAAGGGCCCCUGAGGACCCUGCUGCGGCCCAGUCUGGCUGGGCCGAGCCUUGUGAGCUGGAGGCUGCGCCCCAGGCUGGGAGCCUCCCCGAGACCCCCGAGCCUAGCUCUGAAUCCGGGGAGGAGGAGGAGGAGGACGACUGGGACUGCAGUGUGGACGAGGCGGAGAGUCUGCAGCUGUGGGACUCCUUUUGCCAUUCCGACGACCCCUACAACCUGUUCAAUUUUAAGGCUCCCUUCCAAACUGCAGGGAAAAGUGGGCAGGGCUGUCCCGACGCCAAGCAGCCACCGGAGUGCGUUGUGGUCACCUCGGAGAGUCACACCGUGCUUACUUGUAAAGUGCAGCUCUCAGACAGCCAAGAAAGUAGACAUCCAGGCCGGACUCGGUGUGGGGGUCUUUCGGGAGAAAGGUGCUCACCGAUCAAAAGAAAGGUGACCUUCGUUGAAGAAGUGACUGAGUAUUACUUAAGUGAUGAUGAGGAUCGCAAAGGACCCUGGGAAGAGUUUGCAAGGGAUAGAUGCAGAUUCCGGAAACGAAUCCAAGAAACAGAAGAUGCUAUUGGCUUUUGCUUGACAUUUGAGCACCGACAAAGAACAUUCGACAGACUGCAGGAAGCAUGCUUGAGAAGACUUAAUGUUCCUGAGCAAAAGUUCUUAUCAGAAAGGAGGGUGAGGACCACACAGCAGGAGAACCAUGCAUUUGCCAGCAGCACCAUCUAGCGGGAGAGAGGACCUCACUGAGUUCUUGAUUCUUCAGACCGUGUUGCAUGUCUUACCUCCAGAAUACGGAUGGAUGUUUACACUUUGAGGCCAAAUUAACUUUCAGAUAUUUCCAGAGGUGUUCAGGGUCAGAGCAGAAGCUGAGAUGAGGAGCUGAAAGAGCAAAGUGGCUGGUGCUGCUUUGAGCUGGAGUGACGCAGAAAGAGGAGAUGGAGAGAUCUUCCACCUGCUGGGUCAUGCCCCUCAGUGCCACAGUGGCCCC